GAGACACCCUUAUGGGGCAGGACUUGCUUCAGUGGGGCUUUGGUGCUCACUGAGUCUAUCCCCUGAGUGUGUCUCU
rfam:Myotis lucifugus cont2.27663, whole genome shotgun sequence.